UACGGAGGGGGCUAGCGUUGUUCGGAAUUACUGGGCGUAAAGCGCGCGUAGGCGGACCUGCAAGUCGGGGGUGAAAGCCCGAGGCUCAACCUCGGAACUGCCUUCGAUACUGCGGGUCUCGAGUCCGGGAGAGGUGAGUGGAAUUCCUAGUGUAGAGGUGAAAUUCGUAGAUAUUAGGAAGAACACCAGUGGCGAAGGCGGCGACCUGGUCCGAUACUGACGCUGAGGCGCGAAAGCGUGGGGAGCAAACAGG
rnacentral:rRNA from 1 species